AUAUCAGAACCUGCAGCUGCGAGACAGAAAAGGAAAUCAGAGUCUCCUGUGAAGAGUAAAGCUGAGGCCUCUGCAGCCAAGAAAGAACCAGAACCUGAAGCCCGUCCACAGGCCAGCAGACUGAGGUCGAAGCUGGAAUCCGUGAAGAGGGCGAACGUGACCUUAGCGGCCAAA